rnacentral:lncRNA from 1 species
CCUAUACUAUAGAUAAUAACUACUUUUCUUGACUAUUCAUCCAUUCUACCUACUGAACCACCUUUUCAGCAGUUAUCUAUCCAUGUUUACACUAUAUACUAGGUAUCUACAUUCUGAAAAUAACUACUUAUUCUACGCAAUGUCAAUUCAAAUACUGGUAAUUAAGACUCCCCGUGUUGGUGUAUUGGGUACAUUUGUAACACCAUUUUAUCUCCGUCCUUGCCAAUUAUCAAAGUACCUUAACUCCAAUUGUUCUU